GCCGGCACGGCGCAGAUGGCGAGGCGCGCCUGACUGUAAAUCAGGUCUCUCGGGUGAGGGGGUUCGAAUCCCUCUGCCGGCACCA
rnacentral:tRNA from 1 species